rnacentral:rRNA from 1 species
UACGUAGGAGACGAGCGUUGUCCGGAAUCACUGGGCGUAAAGCGCGUGUAGGCGGAUGGGCAAGUCUGCUGUGAAAGCUCCUGGCUUAACCGGGAGUGGUCGGUGGAAACUGCCAAUCUGGAGGACGGUAGAGGUAGGUAGAAUUCCCGGUGUAGUGGUGAAAUGCGUAGAGAUCGGGAGGAAUACCUGUGGCGAAGGCGGCCUACUGGGCCGGACCUGACGCUGAGACGCGAAGGCGUGGGAGCGAACGGG